rnacentral:lncRNA from 1 species
AUGUUCCAAAUUGGUUUUUUUUUUGUUAGUUUGGAUAAUUUUAUUCAAUCCCUGAGUUUCAGAUUAUUUUGCUCUGAAUUUAAUCCACACAAUUGCCUUAGUUGUUAAUGUUCUUAAUUGGUCUCAUGUCUUUAACAUCUCAUGUUCUUAUUUUUAAAUUCAAGUGAUGUCUUUAGGUUGAUUUUUUUUUCUUAGUUUGAUUCAUUCUAAAAAAAAUCAUUAAUUUAUAGUUUUU